AUGGUUAAGACUGUGAAUCGGUUACGACAAUCAGCUAGGCUAAGCCAAACAGUAUAUUGAAGGAUUCUUACGGCGUUCAGUGCUUAGGCCAGGGAAAAGCAGGUGUCGUCGUGGUGAAACAGCAAAGCGAAAGAAAGGAAGUUGGGAUGGAGAACCAUAGCCUGGAAUAGGUCACCAGAAGUUGCCAAGAGGAAUUCUACUGCUCAGGUCACAAAAAUAGAGUGGAGGUCAACAUCGGCAUGCAAAGCGUUUUAAGCCUCUGGGCAGGAGGACCAGAAAAAAAGACUCCCCCCUUCCAUCGCCCCCCGCACCCUCAUCUGUCUUUCAAGGAACCACUCACUUGUCAAUACCGUCGACGACGAUUCCCGACCCGAGGAAACCGCAGUAGCACCCGUAUCCUUUAUAAUCCAGAGGGUUGCAGGGGACGGCGCAGGUCAUCAUCUGGACAAGAUGAAACACCGAUCUCUUUCUCCGAGCAUGUCCUCCGCCUCCUCCUCCUCCUCCUCCUUCUCCUCCUCCUCCAGAGAAGGCCAUCAUCAUGGAGCUACUGCUGGUGACGUUCUGUUCGUUGUCACUGAUCGCAGGGGGCUCUGGAAAUUAGGAAAUAGGUCAGAAAUGGAGAACUAUUUUUGUGACAUCUUUUAGUAAGCUAAGGAUAAACAAAAUAUAAAGACAUUCAGCUCAGAAUCGGCAGAUUUCAAAAUAGUCUUUUGUGAUAUCGAAUAAUGAAUUAUAAAUAUAACACUAAUGACAUAUAAACAAAAUUUAAAGAUUUUUGGGACAUGGUAUACUGAAGUUAGAAUUGCUAGUAAUUACAAUUAUAGAAAGUUAAGGACUCCAGAAGGCUGAGAAUUAUAUGAAACUAGAGAAUUUCAUUAUUAUCCUAGAUUUAAUCAAAGACAGAUGUGGAUCUAGGGAAAACACUAAUGUAGACGAGUCAGGUAGAGCGAUUGACUAUUUUGCGAAAUUUAGGCCACAAGGCAGAGCAGCAGAGCAGGUUCUGCCAUUCAGCGUUCAAGACAUUGACAAGAGGGAGGUGGACUGUUGGAUACUAAGAUAGAUAUCCAGAAAAUAAACAUGAAGAACAAUGAUCUAAAGGUAAAACUAAAGUAAUAGUCAGAGGGGUUGAACAACAAGACAGAGGCGGGAAUGGAUGUAAAAGAAAAGGUUGAACAGAGAAUACAGGUGGGGUCCGAAGGGACUCUCCAAACACUCUUCAGCAAUGUAUACAGUACACCAUGUGAGGGGCACUGAUGGCACCACCCCUCAGCGGGGCCCUUUGCUCGACGAAUAAAGAAUUCCAGUCCAUUACCUGCCCAGAGAACUCAAUAAUACAAGAACUAAGUUACGUCUGACUAUAAUUCAGACAACCAGAGGAGUAACGAACAAUGACUUCUGGGUGGUCUCUUGUUAACAAUAGGACAAAGCAAGAUUGCUGGAUUAAUGGGAUACUGCAUUCUAUUACGCGUAUCUAUGACAGAUAGGAUGCCGGUGCUGUAAUCAGGUAAAGAAUAGGCCAUUCUGAUGCUUUGCAGGAUAUCUGAAGGACAAUAAAAUUAAGGAUAAUGA